rnacentral:rRNA from 1 species
AACGUAGGAGGCAAGCGUUAUCCGGAUUCACUGGGCGUAAAGCGCGUGCAGGUGGCGCGGUAAGUUGGAUGUGAAAUCUCCCGGCUCAACUGGGAGAGGUCAUUCAAUACUACCGUGCUUGAGAGCAGAAGAGGAAGAUGGAAUUCCCGGUGUAGUGGUGAAAUGCGUAGAUAUCGGGAGGAACACCAGUGGCGAAGGCGAUCUUCUGGUCUGUUUCUGACACUCAGACGCGACAGCUAGGGUAGUAAACGGGAUUAGAAACCCCAGUAGUCC